UACGUAGGCAGCAAGCGUUGUUCGGAGUUACUGGGCGUAAAGGGUGCGUAGGCGGUUGUUUAAGUUUGGUGUGAAAUCUCCCGGCUCAACCGGGAGGGUGCGCCGAAUACUGAACGGCUAGAGUGCGGGAGAGGAGAGUGGAAUUCCUGGUGUAGCGGUGAAAUGCGUAGAUAUCAGGAGGAACACCGGUGGUGUAGACGGCUCUCUGGACCGUAACUGACGCUGAGGCACGAAAGCGUGGGUAGCAAACAGG
rnacentral:rRNA from 1 species